GACGAACGCUGGCGGCGUGCUUAACACAUGCAAGUCGAACGGAAAGGCGAUGCGCUUGUGGGGUGCUCGUGUGGCGAAGGGGUGAGUAACACGUGAGUAAACUGUCCUUGAAUUUGGGAUAAAUUCAGGAGACUGGGGCGAAUACCGGAUAGGAGCUCCUGAAGCGUGGUGGGGGAUGGAAAAUGUCGGCGGUUGGGGAUGGUCUAGCGGCUUAUGCGCCUGAUGGUGGGGUAGUGGCAUACCAAGGCUUUGAAGGGUACGCGGCCUGAGAGGGUGACCGGCCACCUUGGGACUACGGUACGCACCAGACUCCUACGGUACGCAGCAGUCGGAAAUCUUGCACAAUGGGCGCAAGCCUGAUGCAGCAGCGCCGCGUGCGGGAUGCCGGCCUUCGAGUUGUAAACCGCUUUCGCCUGUGACGAAGCGUGAGUGACGGUAAUGGGUAAAGAAGCAACGGCUAACUACGUG
rnacentral:rRNA from 1 species